rnacentral:misc_RNA from 1 species
CAGGCUCCAGUAAAGCAUGCACAUCCGUCUGGUGGAUAUAAUCAGCAAAAUUUUCGCCCUCGGGGGCCCAACUCUGGAACUCAGUGGGGAACCCACACUCCGUCUCCAGCCCAACAAGCCACAGGUUAUGAUUAUCAGCAAAGAGGUAAGUAUCCACCUCAGAGUACACAAUAUCCUCCUCAAUCGUAUGGCAGCUAUCCCCAACAUGUGCCUCCAAGAAGCAGCACCAGUGCAGGCUGGGAUCCGAGGGCUGUGGUGCCUGUUCAGG